rnacentral:tRNA from 1 species
GGGCCUAUAGUUUAGUCUGGAGAGCUUUUUGAAAAAAGCUUUAGCAAAAAGUUACAGAAAGAACACAAGAUUGCGGAUCUUGCAACCGAGGUUCGAAUCCUCGUAGGCCCG